rnacentral:lncRNA from 1 species
GUUUGUUCACAGAGCUAAACACUUGGAAAAACAUUUUGGAAAAAAAAAAAUGAAAUGCUUAUUCAUGGGAAAUCUUUACUCCACCCAGGAAAAGAUAAAUGGCACUUAAGAACUACUCUUUAAGAGUGAGAUGUUUAUUGAAAUAAGGGAGGCUAAUUGUCAAAAAUGAUGAGAAACAAAUGUGAAAAGCCCUAUGUUUGGAGCUCUGGCCACAUGGAGCGUUUAAACAAGCAUAUGCUGUGUUUCAAAAGAAGAGACGUAGUUUGAAAGUUGCCAUUUUUUGGAAAAGAAAUGUUCAGUGAAAGAGAGAGAGAGAAAACAACAACAACAACAACAAUCAUGGCUGCUAACAGCAGUUCCAGAACAUAGAGUAAGAAAGAGAACAUGGCUGCCAAUGUUCUCGUCUCUGAAAGGCUGAAACUCCACUUUGAUAUCAGUUUACCUUUUUAACAAUAUUUUCAUGACAAACCAGUUCUGCUGGAGACAUGUGUUAAAGGGGGUGAUGUGUGAUUGCUGCUAGAGAUAGGAUCACGUUCUCUAUAGAUAUGAGAUGUGUAGUUCUUCUUGGUCCAGUUCUCAGUCUUUCCACUGUUUUGCCAUGAAUUCCCAGAUCAGUCUAGAAUAGAGUUGCUCAAAGUUGGCACUGUUGACAUUUUAGGGAGAAAAUGCGUUAUUGGGAAAGGGCUGUUCUGUAUGUUGUCGGAUGUUUAACAGCAUCCUGGCCUCUACACAUGAGAUGCCAGUAGCAGCCCCCACCCAUUUGUAACAACUAAAAGUGUCUCCAGACAUGGCCAGAUGUCCUCAGGGAGGCGCAAGGAAAGGAGAGAGAAUUUACUGAGGAGAGCUUUUUACAUUUAUUGCUCUAGAUGAUAAAACAUAAAUUUACGGUUCUCAGAUAAGCUGUGUAUUGUAUGUUUACAAAUGUAUUCAGCAAAUGUAUUCAAGCAAACUUCAUGACACCAGAAUAGGGUAAACUUGGUCUUAGAUGGUCCCCAUUAGAAAAGGUCAGUAAUUUAGUAGUACUUCUAUUCUUCUCAGGCAAUAGGCAUUAUUUCUGGUGCCUCUAUAGAUUGUCUACAGCCUACAUGGGCUUUGGAAUCAGACUGACCUGGAUUUUGGUGCUGGCUCCCUCACCACCAGUGUAACCAUAGGCUUAUUAUUUGACCUCUCUAAACCUCAGUUUUCCUCAUCACAAAAGGGAGUCAGUAUUGACCUAAGAGGACUAUUGUAAGGAUUAAAUAAAAUAGCACACCUUCAUAUUUACACUUGGUAAUUCCCUAAUAAAUCAUCAUUUGUUAUGAUGUGGUGCAAUCACAUUCAGGUUCAAUGAAGUAGAGAUGUCAUUUUUCUUGUUUAACCACUGAACCAAUUAUGACUGACAGAUCUCAUUAAAUAGAGCAUGUUUAAAUAACCAUACAGUAGAACCUACAAAUAAUUAGAGCUCUUUCCAGCUUUUAUUUUUGACUUGUCUUUAGUUAUCCUCAUGUUGGAUGCACAUUAGUCACUUGUUUCUGUCCCAUCAGCCCACAGUUUUGUUUUCAGUGGGAGUGCCCAGUGAAAUAAUCAACAUGAACUUAAUUGCAACUUGACAAGCUGCAGAGUUGUUUCAAUAAAUGUGCAACAUGCUGAGCUGUAUGCACUUAGAAGUCAGCAAAUGUUGACCAGUAAUAUCUUAUUUGGGAUCCACCCAGGCCCCAUAACCCAGUGAUGGCAUUCCUCUGAAAUUAGGAAGAGAUUCAAGUUGCUCAAUGCUCCAUUUUAAACAGAAAUACACCAGCAAUAUACCAGCUGCAGGAAAGAGGAUGGGAAAGAGUCUCACAGCAGUCAAGAGCAGACAAUGAUCCAAGUGACAAGAAGACACAGGCCCAUUUGGGGUGUCUCCCAUUCAUUUCUGCUGAACUUUUUCCGAAGACCAUGCUGCUCAGAAUUGUGAAAGGGGACCAAUGACUAUUAUGAGAAACAAAAUAUUCUUCUUUACAAAAGCCUCCCAGAGGAAUAGGGAUGUUUACAGCACUUGGAGAAUGGCCAAGCUGGUGUAUCUUUCAGCACAAAGUGGAGACAUGUUCAAGUCCAGUUCACAGCCUAUGGUUUGUACAUAGGCAAAGCACACCAAAUGUCUCCCUAAAGGUGGUGUUACCCGAAUAGCCCUUUGAAGGCUUCUACCUGGGGAACAUGAUUGCCCAUUGACAAUCACCUCCAUUUGAGAGACUCAUCUGCCUCAAUGCAUUGUGCAACUUCAGGAAGCCUCAUUCGAGGGCCUGAGACAAACAUCUGGAGUGUUCAGCUGAGUCAAACCAACCCUCACUCUCCUCCAAAUGAGAUAAGAAAGGUGUCACAGUGCCAGGGAAGUAUAAUAACAUCAGAAGGGGUGAAACCUGUGCAGAGCUCUGAAGCAUUGGCAGAGCCUGGCCUGGUGGCCAGCAAGAGGCUAAUGGUGCCAAUUACCAACAGAGGGAGCCUGGAGAUGGAGCAGACUCCUGGAAUAUGAUGAUGGAGGAGACUGACUCAUUUUUGGAUAUUUUAUGAGCCUGAAUUGUCCUACCACUGAAGACACAGCAUGAGGUAGCCAACCCAUCCCUGAGACUGCUGUGGGGGCUGAUGUCUACCUGGCUGGGCUUGUUGCAUGGAUUCCACACUGUUUUUACUAUUUACCCGCUAGUUCCUGUGGCUCUCAAUCAAUAACUUCUUUUUUGUACUGAACCUUCUCUAACAUGGACAAGGUUAAAAAGAGAAAGUGGACCUUUUCAGAGUCUAAAAGUGCUAUUGUUCACCACAUAGAACAUUUAUCUGAGAUUGUGGCUGUAUAUGAUAGGAUGUGGAGAAACUGGACAAAAAAAUAAAAUCUGACAACACAUUACAAGAGUUACAAAAACCAGGAAUGCAGAGCACUGGCUUAUCAUCUGUUGACUCUAGCAUGACCAGCUCCAAAUUUGCCUUGUGUCAAUGCAGCACAGCCCCCAACUACCCCAUAGGAAGGCAGACACGACAUGGAGACUAAGUCCUGUUUGGGUUGUUGUUUUCAUGAUGCUAAAAGAGGAUUUCACCCUGACUUAAUUUCUUUAAACUUUUUUUGAUCAAAUUCCAGGUAGCUACAGCAAUUCCACACUCAGCCAACUGAAUUGCAAGAUAAUGCAAAUAGUCUUCUACAAGCUGUUACAGUCCUGAGAGCAAUGGUUUCCUACUAAGCACUGUGGACUGUUUAGAACAGCCUAGUAAGCCUUUGAUUAGCAGUCUGGAAUCUCUUGUGGGUGCAGUACAACUCUUGAUAUAAAAUAUCACCUACCCAAUUCAAUUUGUUUGGAAUCUAGCAUGGGACUACUUGAGGCAGAAGUCAUACUCUAAGGAAACACAUUCAAAAUUUGAUUCCACAUUUGUAUGAUAUGGUGAAGAUGUUUCUCUAACCUUUAACUAGCUAUAUUCCUCUUAAUUCAAUCAUCUUUUUUGAUAUACCGAUUGGAUCAGGGUCGGCCAGGAAGCUUGCGGCAGCAGUUGCCAUCUCUGUUUCUUAGGAGUAAUCCAUCAGAGGAGACACAUGCUGCUGCUCACAGAAAUAAAUACCAAAAAACAACAUUAAAGGUUCAUCUUCCUUAGGAAGCUACAUGAAGAUGGA